AUAGAAAAUAGAGAAUCAUAAAAUCAAGAGUAUAAGGAAAACUGAUAGUUUGAUAGAAAUUUCUUCAAUUCCAUGAGAAGUUGUGUAUUAAAUAACCCUAUUUAGAAAGACUUCUCUCUCCAAUAAUCUUCUACAAAACAGUAAGUUACACGUUUUACUAGUGACUCCUCAUCAUAACUGUGUGAAAGAUUGUGUCUUAAAAUGAAGGUAAGGUAUUAAUCUCUAAAAUUUGUCUUCAUCUUCUCCAUAGAAUAACUGUG
rnacentral:lncRNA from 1 species